GGUCGAAAGAGGAAAUUCAUUCGCGUUUCGGCCGUCGAAGUUGAACGUUUGUUUGACGAGCAAAGUUUCGGCUUCGCUUGCAUCUUACGUUCUUCGAGUCGCGGACGAACGCGUGCACUUUUCCUCUAGUAGGACGUCGCGAUCCGUUGGGUGUCUGUCUAAGACUUGGGGCGGAGCCCGUGCGCGUUUCGCGCGCGCGCGGACCCUCGAUGUUCCGACAGACUCGCUCGACGGUACGCUAAUGGCGCGGGGCCGCUCAUUCAGUUAGCGUUUGGCCCGCAGCAAGCACGUUCUGUGUUUUUGACAGCGAUCGGACCUGGUGCCGAUUCUGUUCCGGAACGACUGUUGGUUGCGGUGUUCUCAAACAGACCUCG
rnacentral:rRNA from 1 species